UGAGGAAUAUUGGUCAAUGGGCGAGAGCCUGAACCAGCCAAGUAGCGUGCAGGACGACGGCCCUAUGGGUUGUAAACUGCUUUUAUGUGGGGAUAAAGUGCGUGACGUGUCAUGCAUUGCAGGUACCACAUGAAUAAGGACCGGCUAAUUCCGUGCCAGCAGCCGCGGUAAUACGUAGGGCGCAAGCGUUAUCCGGAAUUAUUGGGCGUAAAGAGCUUGUAGGCGGUUCGUCGCGUCUGGUGUGAAAGCCCAUCGCUUAACGGUGGGUUUGCGGCGGGUACGGGCGGGCUAGAGUGCAGUAGGGGAGACUGGAAUUCCCGGUGUAACGGUGGAAUGUGUAGAUAUCGGGAAGAACACCAAUGGCGAAGGCAGGUCUCUGGGCUGUUACUGACGCUGAGAAGCGAAAGCGUGGGGAGCGAACAGG
rnacentral:rRNA from 1 species